rnacentral:lncRNA from 1 species
AAGUUCAGCUUUUGAUCGAAUAUAUUAUAAAAGAGGUUUAGUCAGAAAGACCAAAGCCCAUGUCAUCAUCAGAGUCCUCAAAUUCUUCUUUCUUUGCUUCCAUUUUCUUCUCCUCAGCUGGAGCAGCAGCAGUGGAGGUUGAUGCGGGUGGAUCACCUCCUGCUGGUGCAGCACCAGCUGCUGGAGCAGGUCCUCCAGCCCCUACAUUGCAGAUGAGGCUCCUAAUGUUGACAUUGGCCGGGGCCUUUGCAAACAAGCCAGGCCGAAAAGGUUCAACAUUUACACCAGCUGCUUUAAUGAGGGCCUUGAUCUUAUACUCUGUGACAGUCACCUCAUUGUCGUGCAGAAUGAGGGCUGAGUAGAUGCAGGCGAGCUCGGAGAUGGAGGCCAUGGCGCGGGCGAGUGUGGGACUGGCGCUGCCGGACGCAGUGCUAGUCACUGGAUGAAGUGAGGGCCUCACCUCAAUGUGUCCUUAGCUUCCUCGGAAGGACCGAACACCUUGG